CUACGCAAGGACAUCAACUCCCUGGUUGUCCUCACCUCCUGGGCCAUAUGGAAGCAUCGCAACGCCGUCCUCUUUGACAACGCAUCACCCAACCUCCACACCCUCCUCGACGACAUCAAGCAGGAGGCGAAAUUAUGGGCUAGAGCCGGCGCCAAAGGGCUCGAUCGGAUUAUUCCUGUAACAUAA
rnacentral:rRNA from 1 species